GUCGCGAUAAAUUCGCCUACGACAUGGUA
rnacentral:sRNA from 1 species